AGAGUUUGAUCCUGGCUCAGGAUGAACGCUGGCGGUAUGCUUAACACAUGCAAGUCGAACGGGACUUUUCGGAGUUCAGUGGCGGACGGGUGAGUAACGCGUGAGAAUCUGGCUUCAGGUUCGGGACAACCAUUGGAAACGAUGGCUAAUACCGAAUGUGCCGCAGGGUGAAAGAUUAAUUGCCUGAAGAUGAGCUCGCGUCUGAUUAGCUAGUUGGUGGGGUAAGAGCCUACCAAGGCGACGAUCAGUAACUGGUCUGAGAGGAUGACCAGUCACACUGGGACUGAGACACGGCCCAGACUCCUACGGGAGGCAGCAGUGGGGAAUUUUCCGCAAUGGGCGAAAGCCUGACGGAGCAAUACCGCGUGAGGGAGGAAGGCUCUAGGGUUGUAAACCUCUUUUCUCAGGGAAGAACAAAAUGACGGUACCUGAGGAAUAAGCAUCGGCUAACUCCGUGCCAGCAGCCGCGGUAAUACGGAGGAUGCAAGCGUUAUCCGGAUUUAUUGGGCGUAAAGCGUCCGCAGGUGGCAGUUCAAGUCUGCUGUCAAAGGUCGGGGCUCAACCCCGAACAGGCAGUGGAAACUGAACAGCUAGAGUACGGUAGGGGCAGAGGGAAUUCCCAGUGUAGCGGUGAAAUGCGUAGAGAUUGGGAAGAACACCGGUGGCGAAAGCGCUCUGCUAGGCCGAAACUGACACUCAUGGACGAAAGCUAGGGGAGCGAAUGGGAUUAGAUACCCCCGUAGUCC
rnacentral:rRNA from 1 species